AGGAGGCACGCUGGCAUGUAGGUGAAGUCCCUCGCGGAUGGAGCUGAAGCCAGUCGAAGAUACCAGCUGGCUGCAACUGUUUAAUAAAAACACAGCACUGUGCAAACACGAAAGUGGACGUAUACGGUGUGACGCCUGCCCGGUGCUGAUCGAUAUCCCGAAAGACAUCCAGCUGGCGCAAGGCGACCUGCAUCCGCAUUUGAUGCCGGUCGAUAAAGCGCCGGCAUUACCGACGGCGGCGUUUGGCCGAGGCGGCUGAGCUGCUGGCGCAGGCGCAUAAACCGAUGCUGUACGUCGGCGGCGGCGUGGGCAUGGCGCAGGCGGUGCCGGCGCUGCGCGAG
rnacentral:rRNA from 1 species